rnacentral:tRNA from 1 species
GUUCCCAUCGUCUAGCGGUCAGGAUCGAAGGUUCUCAGCCUUCUGACACCGGUUCGAAUCCGGUUGGGAACA